rnacentral:rRNA from 1 species
UACAGAGGGUGCGAGCGUUGUCCGGAAUCACUGGGCGUAAAGGGCGCGUAGGUGGCGACCCAAGUCGAUGGUGAAAGCUCGCCGCUCAACGGCGAGUCGGCCACCGAUACUGGCGUGCUCGAGCACUGUAGGGGCGGGUGGAAUUCCGGGUGUAGCGGUGGAAUGCGUAGAGAUCCGGAAGAACACCGGUGGCGAAGGCGGCCCGCUGGGCAGGAAGGCUCGCAAGAGCCGGCUGACGCUGAGGCGCGACAGCGUGGGGAGCAAACAGG